AUAAAUGUGUGAUAUAACUGCCAGUGAUUAUUACGUAACAAUAUGUUUCUUUCACUAAAUUAUGUUAUGUUAUACAAACUAUUAAUUAUAAUUAUGUUUUGCAAUAACAUACUAUUUUAACAAACUGGCCCAUUUGCAAAUUAUGAAACCGGGGAUUUUGUUUUCUAUAACCGGUUCUGUCGAUUCGGAAAAGAUGCAGUCCAGAGCUUUCUUUUUAUUACCCUUUUUAAUUAGUUUGUAAAGAUUUAUUAAUGGUAUAGAAUAUUACUCCGUACGUAUAAUAAGUUGAUGGAUACAACUAAAUGUGUUUUUGAAAAAGGUAUGGACACAACCACUCCUCUUCAUUUUCUUCUGGUUCGUUCUUUGUCAAGUCGACUUCCUCGGUAGUAUUUGUCGUUGUUGUGUGAGCUAUUAUGAGUAGAGAUUCCAAAGGAUGAACCAGAGAAACUCAGGGAGGAACAAAUGGAGGGGGAUGGUUUUAAGGAGAAGUUAUCAGACUCUGUGUUGAUUGAUGAGAAGCUUGAAGAGUACAGUGAUUGUGAUCAAACAUCAACCACUUCCCGUUCCCACAGAGAUCCAAUAUCUUCUCAAUCUACUCACCUGACCCUGGAAAGCUUUAGAACUCCAAUAACAUAGACUCAAGCUUCACCUGUUCAAGACAAAGUGGCAAACACUAGAUCCUUUAGAAGUAACUCUAUGAAAGUUAAUCAAGAUGAGUUCUUCAUUGAAGACUUCGAUGUUGGUCCAAUGUAUACCAUUGAUUUGUAUGACAUGACAUUUCGAGAAGACCCCUCAGAUUUUGACGAUAAUUUGCUAUAUGCAAUGCGUGACAGGACUAAGCAACUCAGAUCAUUCAAGAGAAAGAUAAUGGAUGCUAUAAAAUCGAAAAGAAGAAGAGAAAAGGAAUAUGAGCAGCUUGCUAUAUGGUUCGGAGAUGCAGACAUGGGUUGUGAUCUGGUAGACAACAAGGAACAUGCUACAACAUCUAUAGACUCCAAAAGCUCGCAGUCAAAUGUGCCAGUUGUAUCAGAAGAUUCUGAAUGGGAGCUUUUGUAAGAUAUAAUGUGUUCUAUUUUGGUGAGACUCAUGUGAUGAUGAUACCAAUAUUUAGUUUGUAACUAUUACUAAUAUGGAAAUAUUUAAAUCUUCUUAUUUAAUUCCUCUUCAUCACCAUGACUUUUUUUUUUUUUGCUUUAUGUUUAUGUUAAUAUAUCCUUUAAUAUAGUUUCAUUUUUCCUUCAUAU
rnacentral:sRNA from 1 species